GCUCAGAACGAACGCUGGCGGCAGGCUUAACACAUGCAAGUCGAACGCUCGGAGCAAUCCGGGAGUGGCAGACGGGUGAGUAACACGUGGGAACGUACCCUUUGGUUCGGAAUAACUCAGGGAAACUUGAGCUAAUACCGGAUACGCCCUUUUUGGGGAAAGGUUGACUGCCGAAGGAUCGGCCCGCGUCCGAUUAGCUUGUUGGUGAGGUAAUGGCUCACCAAGGCAUCGAUCGGUAGCUGGUCUGAGAGGAUGACCAGCCACAUUGGGACUGAGACACGGCCCAAACUCCUACGGGAGGCAGCAGUGGGGAAUAUUGGACAAUGGGCGCAAGCCUGAUCCAGCCAUGCCGCGUGAGUGAUGAAGGCCUUAGGGUUGUAAAGCUCUUUUACCUGGGAAGAUCAUGACGGUACCAGGAGAAUAAGCCCCGGCUAACUUCGUGCCAGCAGCCGCGGUAAUACGAAGGGGGCUAGCGUUGUUCGGAUUUACUGGGCGUAAAGGGCGCGUAGGCGGACCUGUAAGUCAGGGGUGAAAUCCCGAGGCUCAACCUCGGAACUGCCUUUGAUACUGUGGGUCUUGAGUCCGGGAGAGGUGAGUGGGACUGCGAGUGUAGAGGUGAAAUUCGUAGAUAUUCGCAAGA
rnacentral:rRNA from 1 species